rnacentral:misc_RNA from 1 species
GAUGAAGAACGUAGCGAAUUGCGAUAAGUAAUGUGAAUUGCAGAUUUUCAGUGAAUCAUCGAAUCUUUGAACGCACCUUGCGCUCCUUGGUAUUCCGAGGAGCAUGCCUGUUUGAGUGUCAUUUAAUUCUCAACCAUCCCUCGAUUUGUUUCGAGGUUUGGCUUGGAUUUUGGGAGCUGCCGGGCGACCCUACGGUCUUCGGCUCUCCUUAAAAGCAUUAGCGAUGGUGGAACGACCUAACUCCAUGCAUGAACGGCCUUCGACGUGAUAAUGAUCGUCGUGGCUGGAGUGCUAGCGGGCGUCGUGAAGCCAGCGCUUCUAAAUCUCUCGUCGAAAGACGAAACUCGAAACUUGACCUCAAAUCCGGUAGGACUACCCGCUGAACUUAAGCAUAUCAAUAAGCGGAGGA